rnacentral:tRNA from 1 species
GCCAGCAUGGCAUAGUGGUUUCAGUGUUGAACUAUGACUCCAGAGACCAGGGCUCAAUUCCCAGCUUGGCC